rnacentral:rRNA from 1 species
AUUGAACGCUGGCGGCAGGCCUAACACAUGCAAGUCGAGCGGAUGAAGGGAGCUUGCUCCUGGAUUCAGCGGCGGACGGGUGAGUAAUGCCUAGGAAUCUGCCUGGUAGUGGGGGAUAACGUCCGGAAACGGGCGCUAAUACCGCAUACGUCCUGAGGGAGAAAGUGGGGGAUCUUCGGACCUCACGCUAUCAGAUGAGCCUAGGUCGGAUUAGCUAGUUGGUGGGGUAAAGGCCUACCAAGGCGACGAUCCGUAACUGGUCUGAGAGGAUGAUCAGUCACACUGGAACUGAGACAGGGUCCAGACUCCUACGGGAGGCAGCAGUGGGGAAUAUUGGGCAAUGGGGGAAAGCCUGAUCCAGCCAAGCCGCGUGUGUGAAGAAGGUCUUCGGAUUGUAAAGCACUUUAAGUUGGGAGGAAGGGCAGUAAGUUAAUACCUUGCUGUUUUGACGGUACCAACAGAAUAAGCACCGGCUAACUUCGUG